GGUUAAGCGAAUAAGCGUACACGGUGGAUGCAUAGGAAAUCAGAGGCGAUGAAGUACGUGCUAAUCUGCGAAAAGCGUCGGUAAGGUGAUAUGAACCGUUAUACCCGACGAUAUCCGAAUGGGGAAAC
rnacentral:rRNA from 1 species